rnacentral:rRNA from 1 species
UGGGGGAUAUUGCACAAUGGGCGAAAGCCUGAUGCAGCGACGCCGCGUGGGGGAUGAAGGCUUUCGGGUUGUAAACCUCUUUCGCUAUCGAACAAGGCCCGCUUAGGGUGGGUUGAGGGUAGGUUGAGAAGAAGCGCCGGCUAACUACGUGCCAGCAGCCGCGGUAAUACGUAGGGCGCGAGCGUUGUCCGGAAUUAUUGGGCGUAAAGGGCUUGUAGGCGGCUUGUUGCGCCUGCUGUGAAAACGCGGGGCUUAACUUCGCGCGUGCAGUGGGUACGGGCAGGCUUGAGUGUGGUAGGGGUGACUGGAAUUCCAGGUGUAGCGGUGGAAUGCGCAGAUAUCUGGAGGAACACCGAUGGCGAAGGCAGGUCACUGGGCCAUUACUGACGCUGAGGAGCGAAAGCAUGGGUAGCGAACAGG